UACGUAGGGUGCGAGCGUUAAUCGGAAUUACUGGGCGUAAAGCGUGCGCAGGCGGCUUUGCAAGACGGAUGUGAAAUCCCCGGGCUCAACCUGGGAACUGCAUUUGUGACUGCAAGGCUAGAGUACGGUAGAGGGGGAUGGAAUUCCGCGUGUAGCAGUGAAAUGCGUAGAUACGCGGAGGAACACCAAUGGCGAAGGCAACCCCCUGGACCUGUACUGACGCUCGUGCACGAAAGCGUGGGGAGCAAAC
rnacentral:rRNA from 1 species